rnacentral:rRNA from 1 species
UACGUAGGGUGCAAGCGUUAAUCGGAAUUACUGGGCGUAAAGCGCACGCAGGCGGUUCGCCAAGUUUGGGGUGACAGUUGUCGGCUCAACCGACAAAGGACUUCAAAAACUGGUGAACUUGAGGACGAGAGAGGAACAUGGAACUCCAGGUGUAGUAGUGAAAUGCGUAGAUAUCUGGAAGAACACCAAUGGCGAAGGCAAUGUUCUGGCUCGUUUCUGACGCUCAGGUGCGAAAGCCAGGGGAGCGAACGGG